rnacentral:rRNA from 1 species
CCUACGGGAGGCAGCAGUGAGGAAUAUUGGUCAAUGGACGAGAGUCUGAACCAGCCAAGUAGCGUGAAGGAUGACUGCUCUAUGGGUUGUAAACUUCUUUUAUAAAGGAAUAAAACGAGGCACGUGUGCCUUUUUGCAUGUACUUUAUGAAUAAGGAUCGGCUAACUCCGUGCCAGCAGCCGCGGUAAUACGGAGGAUCCGAGCGUUAUCCGGAUGUAUUGGGUUUAAAGGGAGCGUAGAUGGGUUGUUAAGUCAGUUGUGAAAGUUUGCGGCUCAACCGUAAAAUUGCAAUUGAUACUGGCAGUCUUGAGUACAGUUGAGGUAGGCGGAAUUCGUGGUGUAGCGGUGAAAUGCUUAGAUACCACGAAGAACCCCGAUUGCGAAGGCAGCUUACUAAACUGUGACUGACAUUGAUGCUCGAAAGUGUGGGUAUCAAACAGGAUUAGAUACCCCUGUAGUC